rnacentral:rRNA from 1 species
UUGAUACUGUGAGGCUAGGAUUUGGUUGCUGUGGGUGGAAUGUGUGGUGUAGUGGUGAAAUGCUUAGAGAUCACACAGAAUAUCGAUUGCGAAGGCAGCUCACAAAGCCAAGAUUGACGCUGAGGCACGAAAGUGUGGGGAUCAAACAGGAUUAGAUACCCUGGUAGUCCACACUGUAAACGAUGAUAACUCGCUGUCGGCGAUAGACCGUCGGUGGCCAAGCGAAAGCGAUAAGUUAUCCACCUGGGGAGUACGACCGCAAGGUUGAAACUCAAAGGAAUUGACGGGGGCCCGCACAAGCGGAGGAACAUGUGGUUUAAUUCGAUGAUACGCGAGGAACCUUACCCGGGCUCGAACGGUGCAUGAAUGUUCAAGAGAUUGGACAGUCCUUCGGGACAUGUAUCGAGGUGCUGCAUGGUUGUCGUCAGCUCGUGCCGUGAGGUGUCGGCUUAAGUGCCAUAACGAGCGCAAC